GGUAGGGUAGAACUAACCUGUC
rnacentral:miRNA from 1 species